rnacentral:rRNA from 1 species
UGGAGGCAGCAGUGGGGAAUUGUUCGCAAUGGACGCAAGUCUGACGACGCAACGCCGCGUGGAGGACGAAGAUCUUCGGAUCGUAAACUCCUGUCGAGUGGGACGAAAGACCCGGGACCUAAUACGUUCCGGGAGUGACGGUACCACUAAAGGAAGCCCCGGCUAACUCCGUGCCAGCAGCCGCGGUAAUACGGGGGGGGCCAGCGUUGUUCGGAAUUACUGGGCGUAAAGGGCGCGUAGGCGGCCUUCUAAGUCAGACGUGAAAUCCCUCGGCUCAACCGGGGAACUGCGUCUGAUACUGGAAGGCUUGAAUUCGGGAGAGGGAUGCGGAAUUCCAGGUGUAGCGGUGAAAUGCGUAGAUAUCUGGAGGAACACCGGUGGCGAAGGCGGCAUCCUGGACCGAUAUUGACGCUGAGGCGCGAAAGCCAGGGGAGCAAACGGGAUUAGAUACCCCGGUAGG